rnacentral:rRNA from 1 species
GACGAACGCUGGCGGCGUGCUUAACACAUGCAAGUCGAGCGAGAAAGGGCCUUCGGGCCUGAGUACGGCGGCGAACGGGUGAGUAACACGUGGGCAACCUGCCUCAGAGACUGGGAUAACGUCCCGAAAGGGACGCUAAUACCGGAUAACGCGUGGCCUGCUAAGUGGGCCACGCCAAAUGGUUGCUUCGGCUUCUGCUCUGGGAUGGGCCCGCGCCGGAUUAGCUUGUUGGUGAGGUAACGGCUCACCAAGGCGACGAUCCGUAGCUGGUCUGAGAGGACGAUCAGCCACACUGGGACUGAGACACGGCCCAGACUCCUACGGGAGGCAGCAGUGGGGAAUCUUGCGCAAUGGGCGAAAGCCUGACGCAGCAACGCCGCGUGAGCGAAGAAGGCCUUCGGGUUGUAAAGCUCUGUCAGGAGGGACGAAGCCACUCAGGUUAAUAGCCGAGAGGGUGACGGUACCUCCAGAGGAAGCCCCGGCUAACUACGUGCCAGCCGCCGCGGUAA